rnacentral:sRNA from 1 species
UAAUAGACCUGAUAGAAGUGAAAAUCCCUUUUGGAUAUUGAUGCAUUAUUUUUAUCAACUAUUCCCAAAAGGAUUGUAACAAACAGCAGGACAGAAC